rnacentral:rRNA from 1 species
UACGUAGGGGGCGAGCGUUGUCCGGAAUCAUUGGGCGUAAAGCGCGCGUAGGCGGCCCGGUAAGUCCGCUGUGAAAGUCAAAGGCUCAACCUUUGAAUGUCAGCGGAUACUGCCGGGCUAGAGUCCGGAAGAGGCGAGUGGAAUUCCUGGUGUAGCGGUGGAAUGCGCAGAUAUCAGGAGGAACACCAACGGCGAAGGCAGCUCGCUGGGACGGUACUGACGCUGAGGCGCGAAAGCGUGGGGAGCGAACAGG